GAUGAACGCUGGCGGCGUGCCUAAUACAUGCAAGUCGAGCGAACGGACGAGAAGCUUGCUUCUCUGAUGUUAGCGGCGGACGGGUGAGUAACACGUGGAUAACCUACCUAUAAGACUGGGAUAACUUCGGGAAACCGGGGCUAAUACCGGAUAAUAUUUUGAACCGCAUGGUUCAAAAGUGAAAGACGGUCUUGCUGUCACUUAUAGCUGGAUCCGCGCUGCAUUAGCUAGUUGGUAAGGUAACGGCUUACCAAGGCAACGAUGCAUAGCCGACCUGAGAGGGUGAUCGGCCACACUGGAACUGAGACACGGUCCAGACUCCUACGGGAGGCAGCAGUAGGGAAUCUUCCGCAAUGGGCGGAAGCCUGACGGAGCAACGCCGCGUGAGUGAUGAAGGUCUUCGGAUCGUAAAACUCUGUUAUUAGGGAAGAACAUAUGUGUAAGUAACUGUGCACAUCUUGACGGUACCUAAUCAGAAAGCCACGGCUAACUACGUG
rnacentral:rRNA from 1 species